UACGGGGGGAGCAAGCGUUGUUCGGAUUUACUGGGCGUAAAGGGCGCGUAGGCGGUCGUGACAAGUCACUUGUGAAAUCUCCGGGCUUAACUCGGAACGGUCAAGUGAUACUGUCGGACUAGAGUACAGAAGGGGCAACUGGAAUUCUCGGUGUAGCGGUGAAAUGCGUAGAUAUCGAGAGGAACACCUGCGGCGAAGGCGGGUUGCUGGGCUGAUACUGACGUGAGGCGCGAAAGCCAGGGGGAGCGAACGGGG
rnacentral:rRNA from 1 species